CCUACGGGGGGCAGCAGUGGGGAAUCUUGCGCAAUGGGCGAAAGCCUGACGCAGCGACGCCGCGUGAGUGAUGAAGGCCUUCGGGUUGUAAAGCUCUGUGGAGGGGGACGAAUAAGGGCCGGCGAACACCCGGUCUGAUGACGGUACCCCUUUAGCAAGCACCGGCUAACUCUGUGCCAGCAGCCGCGGUAAGACAGAGGGUGCAAACGUUGUUCGGAAUUACUGGGCGUAAAGCGCGUGUAGGCGGCGCGGUAAGUCGGGUGUGAAAGCCCUGGGCUCAACCCAGGAAGUGCACUCGAAACUACCGUGCUUGAGUUCCGGAGAGGAAGGCGGAAUUCUCGGUGUAGAGGUGAAAUUCGUAGAUAUCGAGAGGAACACCGGUGGCGAAGGCGGCCUUCUGGACGGCAACUGACGCUGAGACGCGAAAGCGUGGGGAGCA
rnacentral:rRNA from 1 species